CCUACGGGAGGCAGCAGUGAGGAAUAUUGGUCAAUGGUCGGGAGACUGAACCAGCCAAGCCGCGUGAGGGAUGAAGGUACAGAGUAUCGUAAACCUCUUUUGUCAGGGAACAAAGGCGGGGACGUGUCCCAGGAUGAGUGUACCUGAAGAAAAAGCAUCGGCUAACUCCGUGCCAGCAGCCGCGGUAAUACGGAGGAUGCGAGCGUUAUCCGGAUUUAGUGGGUUUAAAGGGUGCGCAGGCGGUCUGUUAAGUCAGCGGUCAAAGCCCGGGGCUCAACCCCGGCCCGCCGUUGAAACUGGCAGUCUCGAGUUGGAGAGAGGUAUGCGGAAUGCGCGGUGUAGCGGUGAAAUGCAUAGAUAUCGCGCAGAACUCCGAUUGCGAAGGCAGCAUGCCGGCUCCACACUGACGAUGAGGCACGAAAGCGUGGGUAUCGAACAGGAUUAGAUAUCCUUGUAGUC
rnacentral:rRNA from 1 species